CAGUCGACGAUGAGAGGGAGCUUGCUCCCUGGAUUAGUGGCGAACGGGUGAGUAACACGUGAGUAACCUGCCCUUGACUCUGGGAUAAGCACUGGAAACGGUGUCUAAUACCGGAUACGAACUUCAGCCGCAUGGCUAGGAGUUGGAAAGAAUUUCGGUCAAGGAUGGACUCGCGGCCUAUCAGCUAGUUGGUGAGGUAAUGGCCCACCAAGGCGACGACGGGUAGCCGGCCUGAGAGGGUGACCGGCCACACUGGGACUGAGACACGGCCCAGACUCCUACGGGAGGCAGCAGUGGGGAAUAUUGCACAAUGGGCGAAAGCCUGAUGCAGCGACGCCGCGUGAGGGAUGACGGCCUUCGGGUUGUAAACCUCUUUCAGCAGGGACGAAGCGAGAGUGACGGUACCUGCAGAAGAAGCACCGGCCAACUACGUGCCAGCAGCCGCGGUAAUACGUAGGGUGCGAGCGUUGUCCGGAAUUACUGGGCGUAAAGAGCUCGUAGGCGGUUUGUCACGUCGGCUGUGAAAACCCAUCGCUCAACGGUGGGCUUGCAGUCGAUACGGGCUGACUUGAGUACUGCAGGGGAGACUGGAAUUCCUGGUGUAGCGGUGAAAUGCGCAGAUAUCAGGAGGAACACCGGUGGCGAAGGCGGGUCUCUGGGCAGUAACUGACGCUGAGGAGCGAAAGCGUGGGUAGCAAACAGGAUUAGA
rnacentral:rRNA from 1 species